rfam:Dipodomys ordii contig_39910, whole genome shotgun sequence.
GGUGGCUCAGUGGUAGAGCACUUGCCUUGCAUGCAUGAAGCCCUGGGUUCGAUUCCCCAGCACCA